rnacentral:rRNA from 1 species
UGGGGGAUAUUGCACAAUGGGCGCAAGCCUGAUGCAGCGACGCCGCGUGGGGGAUGAAGGCCUUCGGGUUGUAAACUUCUUUUGCUCUGAACAAGGCGCACUUUGGGGUGUGUUGAGUGUAGGGGUUGAUUAGCGCCGGCUAACUACGUGCCAGCAGCCGCGGUAAUACGUAGGGCGCGAGCGUUGUCCGGAAUUAUUGGGCGUAAAGGGCUUGUAGGUGGCUGGUUGCGUCUGUCGUGAAAGCUCAUGGCUUAACUGUGGGUUUGCGGUGGGUACGGGCUGGCUUGAGUGCAGUAGGGGAGGCUGGAAUUCGUGGUGUAGCGGUGGAAUGCGCAGAUAUCAGGAGGAAUACCGGUGGCGAAGGCGGGUCUCUGGGCUGUUACUGACACUGAGGAGCGAAAGCAUGGGGAGCGAACAGG